UUGGAGACCAUGUGGUAGUCAUGAACACCAGACACAUCGCUUUCUCUGGAAAUAAAUGGGAACAGAAAGUGUAUUCGUCUCACACUGGCUACCCUGGUUCAUUCAAACAGCUCACCGCAGCCCAAAUGCACAAAAAAGACCCAACAGCUAUAGUGGCAGUUGCAGAGCCAAAUAUUCCCUCACAAUCAGCAUGCCACACAUUUGAAUAAUAAAUGCAGCGCAGACCCCA